rnacentral:rRNA from 1 species
UACGUAGGGGGCUAGCGUUGUCCGGAUUUAUUGGGCGUAAAGAGCGUGUAGGCGGCCAGGUAGGUCUGGUGUGAAAACUCGAGGCUUAACCUCGAGAUGUCAUCGGAAACCAUCUGGCUAGAGUCCGGAAGAGGAGAGUGGAAUUCCUGGUGUAGCGGUGAAAUGCGCAGAUAUCAGGAAGAACACCAACGGCGAAGGCAGCUCGCUAGGACGGUACUGACGCUGAGACGCGAAAGCGUGGGGAGCGAACAGG